UUCUGAAUCAGUAUUUUUAUAUGGAGUAGCAAAACUGUUUAAAUUAGUGUGCUUUUCUGUUAAUUAUACUUAUUAUACUGGUAAGCUUGUGUCCUCCAUUUAAGGCUGCUGCCCCUAUCACAAAUUUGUAAAUAAGUGACUGAAAAUCAACUGGUGAGGCUAAGUUUGUGUUAACACGUUGUAUUUUGCCUAUUAGUAUUUCAAGGGAGGAACCAGUGUUCCCUUGCUGAAAUAUAGGAAAACCACAAUACAGCAAUAAGCAGAGAUAAAGUGGUAGCCAGAGAUACCUGCCUAUGUCCUAGGUAGCCUGAAAUGCCUGCUAUGAGACAUGGUUCAGAACUGUGAAGCAGAAUACAAAGUCUCAAAACAACUGUCAUGAACUCCAGGUUUUGAUCAUUUCAAGGAAAACUUAAGUCUGCACAUGAGCCUUCCUUUGUCUUAAUGAAAUUUGUGCUGCCUGGGCUGUCAUAAGAUUGACUAGAACAGCCUUGUGCUAUAAUGAGGCCCAUAUGCCUCAAUAAAGAGGCUUUGCAUGUAGCACUUCUGAAAACAAUACUCUUGGUUUAUUAUUAAAUUGAAAAAUCUUUCCUGGAAAAUAGCAGUCUGGGGGGAAGCUGUCUGAGCUGUUCAGUGGAACUGCAAAGGUGGUGGUUUUGUUUCUGCUCAGCUGCCACACCCAGCUCCACCAGGUGAAGAAACUUGCCUCUGGUCGAUCACCUGCUGUGGAAUCAAAGUCUACAACUUGCCACUAUGCUCCUAACUCCCCAAAGUGGAGUCACAUGGAUGUGGUUGAACAACCUCAGCUUGCAAGUAUGUGGUCGGAGAUGCCGGCUUAGCACCUGCAUGUAAAUCUUGUUUGCUGGACAGAACAAAGAGUGAUUGACUUCACAAGAUACAGAGAUGGUUCUAGUUGGGCAAAACAACAAACUCUGAACCCAGAUUACAAACACACUGAAGGCAAAUGGAUCAGACUGAGGAUGGUAUGCUGCUGGAAGAUACAGAUCAGAAGCAGUCAUCUUCUGUGGGCUGGAAAGUGAGAACUGUAACAGUAUAAAAACCAUUUGUAGGCUUUCUGUGCUCAUCUCCUUUAUCCUCAGGGUUGUUUUGAUGUGCUUUUUCCCCCCUUGUUGAUGUUUUCUUGCCUAGGUACCUCUACAGUACCAAAUCAUUAUUUUUAUAUUGUUAUACCAAAAUGCUCUUUCCUAUAUGCAGUGGACCUGCCAGAAUGAGAAGAUAUGCCAGGCUUUAAUGGAAUGAUGCUUUGCAAGAAAAUACAGAGAAUUUUUUUUUUAAGCAUCACAAGUACGUUUGUGCUGAAUAGUUGUAGCAAAAAGAAAAAAAAAUACUACCAGCAUCUACAGCAGUUGAACAUUUCAUGAUCAAUAUUUAGCAUAUGAAUAAUGUUUUAAUUACUGUCAUUUGUUCCUAUUCUUGAAAAGAAAGAGGUAUUUGUUUAUGCUUUAAAUCAAAAAGAUGAAUUUGUUUGUUUCUCAUUUGUCCUGUGUGCAUCAGUGUGUUUGAUGAGAAUACUGGUAAGAUCCAGGUGUCUUAAUCUGCUUUGUCCUUUACAUUACAUGCUC
ensembl:lncRNA